GGUAGCACGGGGGCAACCCUGGUGGCGAGUGGCGAACGGGUGAGUAAUACAUCGGAACGUGUCCUGUAGUGGGGGAUAGCCCGGCGAAAGCCGGAUUAAUACCGCAUACGCUCUACGGAGGAAAGGGGGGGAUCUCAGGACCUCUCGUUAUAGGGGCGGCCGAUGGCAGAUUAGCUAGUUGGUGGGGUAAAGGCCUACCAAGGCGACGAUCUGUAGCUGGUCUGAGAGGACGACCAGCCACACUGGGACUGAGACACGGCCCAGACUCCUACGGGAGGCAGCAGUGGGGAAUUUUGGACAAUGGGCGCAAGCCUGAUCCAGCAAUGCCGCGUGUGUGAAGAAGGCCUUCGGGUUGUAAAGCACUUUUGUCCGGAAAGAAAUCCUUUGGCCUAAUACGUCGGGGGGAUGACGGUACCGGAAGAAUAAGCACCGGCUAACUACGUGCCAGCAGCCGCGGUAAUACGUAGGGUGCAAGCGUUAAUCGGAAUUACUGGGCGUAAAGCGUGCGCAGGCGGUUCGCUAAGACAGAUGUGAAAUCCCCGGGCUUAACCUGGGAACUGCAUUUGUGACUGGCGGGCUAGAGUAUGGCAGAGGGGGAUAGAAUUCCACGUGUAGCAGUGAAAUGCGUAGAGAUGUGGAGGA
rnacentral:rRNA from 1 species